rnacentral:tmRNA from 1 species
ACGCUUGGAAAGCGUCCGCGCAACGCCUAUAUUGGUCCUGUCCGGUUUCGGCCGGACUAUAGCGAUAAACGCGCUUGUAAUAAGCGGACCGGACCCGGGUGCGAUUCCCGGCGGCUCCACCAUUCUCUUCCCCGCGUUAUCGGCGGAGGCGUCAUGGGGCCGACUAGCAUCGACGGACGUGUAAAGAGGAUUGCUUUCGCUCGUCCUGGCCCACCGUAUCGGGCCAUUUUCUAACUGCGAACGAUAACUUCGCUGGAGAAGUCGCUCUCG